UACAGAGGUCUCAAGCGUUGUUCGGAUUCAUUGGGCGUAAAGCGUGCGUAGACGGUUAUGUAAGUCGGGUGUGAAAGCCCCGGGCUCAACCUGGGAAUUGCAUUCGAGACUGUGUAGCUAGGGUACGGAAGAGGGAAGCGGAAUUUCAGGUGUAGCGGUGAAAUGCGUAGAUAUCUGAAGGAACACCAGUGGCGAAAGCGGCUUCCUGGUCCAGUACCGACGUUCAGGCACGAAAGCGUGGGGAGCAAACAGG
rnacentral:rRNA from 1 species